rnacentral:rRNA from 1 species
CAGUCGCCGCGGUAAUACGUAGGGCGCAAGCGUUAUCCGGAAUUAUUGGGCGUAAAGAGCUCGUAGGCGGUUUGUCGCGUCUGCCGUGAAAGUCCGGGGCUCAACCCCGGAUCUGCGGUGGGUACGGGCAGACUAGAGUGAUGUAGGGGAGACUGGAAUUCCUGGUGUAGCGGUGAGAUGCGCAGAUAUCAGGAGGAACACCGAUGGCGAAGGCAGGUCUCUGGGCAUUAACUGACGCUGAGGAGCGAAAGCAUGGGGAGCGAACAGGAUUAGAUACCCCAGUAGUCCCUGUCUCUUAUAC